rnacentral:rRNA from 1 species
GUUAUUUGAAGCAAAAAUAAUCUCGCCUGCUCAAUGUUAAAUUGCUGCAGUAUCCUGACUGUACGAAGGUAGCAUAAUGAAUUGCCUUUUAAUUGGAGGCUGGUAUGAAGGGUGGAACAGAGAGGAAGGUUUUGUUACUUGAACUUAGAUUGGUUGUAAGAAUACAAUCAUGAACCUUUGGGACGAGAAGACCCUAGAAGCUAUAUAUAUCUGUUGGUUGGGGCAACUUGAGAAGAGAUUUAACUUUUAUAAGUUACUCUAGGGAUAACAGCGUUAUUUAGGCCAGGAGUACGGAUUUGAGCCUAAGCUUGCGACCUCGAUGUUGAAUUAAAUGGUGCAGGGGCUAUAGUCUGUUCGACUAGUAAUAUUUUACA